UGCCCAGCAACUCCUAAUCCUACCUACUCGUGGUACUGGUCGGGGUACGAGCAACCUUAGGGAAGAUCGGGUAAUCAAUUCCGGUGGGAACUUUGGUCGUAUGGUGACAAGGAAGG
rnacentral:ribozyme from 1 species